rnacentral:rRNA from 1 species
AAUGAACGCUGGCGGCAUGCCUAACACAUGCAAGUCGAACGAGACCUUCGGGUCUAGUGGCGCACGGGUGCGUAACGCGUGGGAAUCUGCCCUUGGGUUCGGAAUAACUCGCCGAAAGGCGUGCUAAUACCGGAUGAUGACGUAAGUCCAAAGAUUUAUCGCCCAGGGAUGAGCCCGCGUAGGAUUAGCUAGUUGGUGGGGUAAAGGCCCACCAAGGCGACGAACCUUAGCUGGUCUGAGAGGAUGAUCAGCCACAUUGGGACUGAGACACGGCCCAAACUCCUACGGGAGGCAGCAGUGGGGAAUAUUGGACAAUGGGCGCAAGCCUGAUCCAGCCAUGCCGCGUGAGUGAUGAAGGCCCUAGGGUUGUAAAGCUCUUUCACCGGAGAAGAUAGUGACGGUAUCCGGAGAAGAAGCCCCGGCUAACUUCGUGCCAGCAGCCGCCGUAA